rnacentral:rRNA from 1 species
UACGGGGGGGCAAGCGUUGUUCGGAAUUACUGGGCGUAAAGGGCUCGUAGGCGGCCAACUAAGUCAUACGUGAAAUCCCUCGGCUUAACCGGGGAACUGCGUCUGAUACUGGAUGGCUUGAGAUUGGGAGAGGGAUGCGGAAUUCCAGGUGUAGCGGUGAAAUGCGUAGAUAUCUGGAGGAAUACCGGUGGCGAAGGCGGCAUCCUGGACCGACAUUGACGCUGAGGAGCGAAAGCUAGGGGAGCAAACGGG